rnacentral:rRNA from 1 species
AAUGAACGCUGGCGGCAGGCCUAAAACAUGCAAGUCGAACGCAGUAGCAAUACUGAGUGGCGCACGGGUGCGUAACACGUGGGAAUAUGCCUAUUGGUACGGAACAGCUCCGGGAAACUGGAAUUAAUACCGUAUGGUCCCUUCGGGGUAAAGAUUUAUCGCCAAUAGAUUAGCCCGCGGUGGAUUAGCUAGUUGGUAGGGUAAUGGCCUACCAAGGCGACGAUCCAUAGCUGGUCUGAGAGGACGAUCAGCCACACUGGGACUGAGACACGGCCCAGACUCCUACGGGAGGCAGCAGUUAGGAAUAUUGGACAAUGGGCGCAAGCCUGAUCCAGCCAUGCCGCGUGAGUGAUGAAGGCCUUCGGGUUGUAAAACUCUUUAGCCGACGAAUAUAAUGACUGUAGUCGGAAAAUAAGCCCCGGCUAACUUCGUGCCAGCAGCCGCAGUAAGAC